rnacentral:rRNA from 1 species
ACUCCUACGGGAGGCAGCAGUGGGGAAUAUUGCACAAUGGGCGAAAGCCUGAUGCAGCCAUGCCGCGUGUGUGAAGAAGGCCUCGGUUGUAAAGCACUUCUAGCGAGGAGGAAAGGUUAGACGGUUAAUAACCCGUCAGCUGUGACGUUACUCGCAGAAGAAGCACCGGCUAACUCCGUGCCAGCAGCCGCGGUAAUACGGAGGGUGCGAGCGUUAAUCGGAAUUACUGGGCGUAAAGCGCAUGCAGGCGGCCAAGUCAGUCAGAUGUGAAAGCCCCGGGCUUAACCUGGGAAUUGCAUUUGAAACUGCUUGGCUAGAGUCCUUGAGAGGGGGUAGGAAUUUCAGGUGUAGCGGUGAAAUGCGUAGAGAUCUGAAGGAAUACCAGUGGCGAAAGGCGGCCCCCUGGCCAAGAGACUGACGCUCAGAUGCGAAAGCGUGGGG